rnacentral:rRNA from 1 species
UGAUGCAGCACGCCGCGUGAGGGAUGACGGCCUUCGGGUUGUAAACCUCUUUUAGCAGGGAAGAAGCGAAAGUGACGGUACCUGCAGAAAAAGCACCGGCUAACUACGUGCCAGCAGCCGCGGUAAUACGUAGGGUGCAAGCGUUGUCCGGAAUUAUUGGGCGUAAAGAGCUCGUAGGCGGUUUGUCACGUCUGCUGUGAAAAUCCAAGGCUCAACCUUGGACUUGCAGUGGGUACGGGCAGGCUAGAGUGCGGUAGGGGAGAUGGGAAUUCCUGGUGUAGCGGUGGAAUGCGCAGAUAUCAGGAGGAACACCAAUGGCGAAGGCACAUCUCUGGGCCGUAACUGACGCUGAGGAGCGAAAGCGUGGGGAGCGAACAGGAUUAGAUACCCUGGUAGUCCACGCCGUAAACGGUGGGUGCUAGCUGUGGGCCACAUUCCACGUGGUCCGUGACGAAGUUAACACAUUAAGCACCCCGCCUGGGGAGUACGGCCGCAAGGCUAAAACUCAAAGAAAAUUGACGG